GGAAUUUUCCGCAAUGGGCGAAAGCCUGACGGAGCAACGCCGCGUGAGGGAUGAAGGCCUCUGGGCUGUAAACCUCUUUUAUCAAGGAAGAAGAUCUGACGGUACUUGAUGAAUAAGCCACGGCUAAUUCCGUGCCAGCAGCCGCGGUAAUACGGGAGUGGCAAGCGUUAUCCGGAAUUAUUGGGCGUAAAGCGUCCGCAGGCGGUCUUGUAAGUCUGUCGUUAAAGCGUGGAGCUUAACUCCAUUUCAGCGAUGGAAACUGUAAGACUAGAGUGUGGUAGGGGCAGAGGGAAUUCCCGGUGUAGCGGUGAAAUGCGUAGAUAUCGGGAAGAACACCAGUGGCGAAGGCGCUCUGCUGGGCCAUCACUGACGCUCAUGGACGAAAGCCAGGGGAGCGAAAGGGAUUAGAUACCCCUGUAGUC
rnacentral:rRNA from 1 species